UUACUGGGCGUAAGCGUGCGUAGGCGGCUUUUUAAGUCGGAUGUGAAAUCCCUGAGCUUAACUUAGGAAUUGCAUUCGAUACUGGAAAGCUAGAGUAUGGGAGAGGAUGGUAGAAUUCCAGGUGUAGCGGUGAAAUGCGUAGAGAUCUGGAGGAAUACCGAUGGCGAAGGCAGCCAUCUGGCCUAAUACUGACGCUGAGGUACGAAAGCAUGGGGAGCAAACAGGAUUAGAUACCCUGGUAGUCCAUGCCGUAAACGAUGUCUACUAGCCGUUGGGGCCUUUGAGGCUUUAGUGGCGCAGCUAACGCGAUAAGUAGACCGCCUGGGGAGUACGGUCGCAAGACUAAAACUCAAAUGAAUUGACGGGGGCCCGCACAAGCGGUGGAGCAUGUGGUUUAAUUCGAUGCAACGCGAAGAACCUUACCUGGCCUUGACAUACUAAGAACUUUCCAGAGAUGGAUUGGUGCCUUCGGGAACUUAGAUACAGGUGCUGCAUGGCUGUCGUCAGCUCGUGUCGUGAGAUGUUGGGUUAAGUCCCGCAACGAGCGCAACCCUUUUCCUUAUUUGCCAGCGGGUAAUGCCGGGAACUUUAAGGAUACUGCCAGUGACAAACUGGAGGAAGGCGGGGACGACGUCAAGUCAUCAUGGCCCUUACGGCCAGGGCUACACACGUGCUACAAUGGUCGGUACAAAGGGUUGCUACCUCGCGAGAGGAUGCUAAUCUCAAAAAGCCGAUCGUAGUCCGGAUCGCAGUCUGCAACUCGACUGCGUGAAGUCGGAAUCGCUAGUAAUCGCGGAUCAGAAUGCCGCGGUGAAUACGUUCCCGGGCCUUGUACACACCGCCCGUCACACCAUGGGAGUUUGUUGCACCAGAAGUAGGUAGUCUAACCGUAAGAGGACGCUUACCACGGUGUGGCCGAUGACUGGGGUGAA
rnacentral:rRNA from 1 species